UAACGCGUGAGCAAUCUGCCUUUGGAUGGGGGAUAACAGCCGGAAACGGCUGCUAAUACCGCAUAAUGCAACGGGACCGCAUGGUUCUGCUGCCAAAGAUUUAUUGUCCAAAGAUGAGCUCGCGUCUGAUUAGCCAGUUGGCGGGGUAACGGCCCACCAAAGCGACGAUCAGUAGCCGGACUGAGAGGUUGAACGGCCACAUUGGGACUGAGACACGGCCCAGACUCCUACGGGAGGCAGCAG
rnacentral:rRNA from 1 species